UGAACGCUAGCUACAGGCUUAACACAUGCAAGUCGAGGGGCAUCAGGAAGAAAGCUUGCUUUCUUUGCUGGCGACCGGCGCACGGGUGAGUAACACGUAUCCAACCUGCCCUUUACUCGGGGAUAGCCUUUCGAAAGAAAGAUUAAUACCCGAUAGCAUAAUGAUUCCGCAUGGUUUCAUUAUUAAAGGAUUCCGGUAAAGGAUGGGGAUGCGUUCCAUUAGGUUGUUGGUGAGGUAACGGCCCACCAAGCCUUCGAUGGAUAGGGGUUCUGAGAGGAAGGUCCCCCACAUUGGAACUGAGACACGGUCCAAACUCCUACGGGAGGCAGCAGUGAGGAAUAUUGGUCAAUGGGCGCUAGCCUGAACCAGCCAAGUAGCGUGAAGGAUGAAGGCUCUAUGGGUCGUAAACUUCUUUUAUAUAAGAAUAAAGUGCAGUAUGUAUACUGUUUUGUAUGUAUUAUAUGAAUAAGGAUCGGCUAACUCCGUGCCAGCAGCCGCGGUAAUACGGAGGAUCCGAGCGUUAUCCGGAUUUAUUGGGUUUAAAGGGAGCGUAGGUGGACUGGUAAGUCAGUUGUGAAAGUUUGCGGCUCAACCGUAAAAUUGCAGUUGAUACUGUCAGUCUUGAGUACAGUAGAGGUGGGCGGAAUUCGUGGUGUAGCGGUGAAAUGCUUAGAUAUCACGAAGAACUCCGAUUGCGAAGGCAGCUCACUGGACUGCAACUGACACUGAUGCUCGAAAGUGUGGGUAUCAAACAGGAUUAGAUACCCUGGUAGUCCACACAGUAAACGAUGAAUACUCGCUGUUUGCGAUAUACAGUAAGCGGCCAAGCGAAAGCAUUAAGUAUUCCACCUGGGGAGUACGCCGGCAACGGUGAAACUCAAAGGAAUUGACGGGGGCCCGCACAAGCGGAGGAACAUGUGGUUUAAUUCGAUGAUACGCGAGGAACCUUACCCGGGCUUAAAUUGCAGUGGAAUGAUGUGGAAACAUGUCAGUGAGCAAUCACCGCUGUGAAGGUGCUGCAUGGUUGUCGUCAGCUCGUGCCGUGAGGUGUCGGCUUAAGUGCCAUAACGAGCGCAACCCUUAUCUUUAGUUACUAACAGGUUAUGCUGAGGACUCUAGAGAGACUGCCGUCGUAAGAUGUGAGGAAGGUGGGGAUGACGUCAAAUCAGCACGGCCCUUACGUCCGGGGCUACACACGUGUUACAAUGGGGGGUACAGAAGGCAGCUAGCGGGUGACCGUAUGCUAAUCCCAAAAUCCUCUCUCAGUUCGGAUCGAAGUCUGCAACCCGACUUCGUGAAGCUGGAUUCGCUAGUAAUCGCGCAUCAGCCACGGCGCGGUGAAUACGUUCCCGGGCCUUGUACACACCGCCCGUCAAGCCAUGGGAGCCGGGGGUACCUGAAGUACGUAACCGCAAGGAUCGUCCUAGGGUAAAACUGGUGACUGGG
rnacentral:rRNA from 1 species